CCAAAUUUGGGUCACCUGUGUUAAAACGCACGCCAAUGAAGCAUGGCCUUAUUGUAUACCUGUUUGCUAUUUUUUAAUGGUGGUCAGUCAAGUUCUUCGGACAGGUUUACACACCUAUUCAGGAAGAUUCAUCUACUUGAGGUUAUGGUGUGGAAGGAUGCCACACCCGUCAGAUCAUUAAUAAUUGAUAUUUUAAAUUUAACCCACAUGAGUUUGGCUGUUUUUUGUACAUAGUCAACAAUUCUGAGGUUCUAGCCUGCACCAGAGUAAUACUAUGCUACAAUGUUAAGGAGUGGAUCCUACAGUCAUAACAACAUACAAUGUAUCUACGUUUAUGGUUUGAAGCUGUUGUGCACGUUCUUUGUGUUCGUCCUACAAGACUAGCAUCUACGACGAUAUAUUCAACUAGACUGAACUGCAUCACCGUAUUUAAAGGAAAGUAAUUUGAACUGUGAACAGACAAAAAUCUCAGUGGUUAUUUGGGACAUUUUUGGAAUUUGAAUUAUAUGUAAUAAGUUUUUUUCUAAUUGAUUUUGUUUUGUUUAUUAAAUUAUUUAUUUAU